GGGAUUGCCCUAGUACGGCGAGUGAAGCGGCAACAGCUCAAAUUUGAAAUCUGGCCUUUGGUCCGAGUUGUAAUUUGUAGAGGAUGCUUUUGGUGCGGUUCCUUCCGAGUUCCCUGGAACGGGACGCCUUAGAGGGUGAGAGCCCCGUACGGUUGGAUACCUAGCCUCUGUAAAGCUCCUUCGACGAGUCGAGUAGUUUGGGAAUGCUGCUCUAAAUGGGAGGUAAAUUUCUUCUAAAGCUAAAUACCGGCCAGAGACCGAUAGCGCACAAGUAGAGUGAUCGAAAGAUGAAAAGCACUUUGAAAAGAGGGUUAAAUAGCACGUGAAAUUGUUGAAAGGGAAGCGUUUAUGACCAGACUUUUUCUAGGCGGAUCAUCCGGUGUUCUCACCGGUGCACUUCGCCUAGUUUAGGCCAGCAUCGGUUUCCGUAGGGGGAUAAAAGCUUUAGGAAUGUGGCUCCUUCGGGAGUGUUAUAGCCUAUUGUAUAAUACCCUUCUGGGGACCGAGGUUCGCGCUCUGCAAGGAUGCUGGCGUAAUGGUCAUCAACGACCCGU
rnacentral:rRNA from 1 species